rnacentral:rRNA from 1 species
AUUGAACGCUGGCGGCAGGCUUAACACAUGCAAGUCGAGCGGGGGGAGGUAGCUUGCUACCGGACCUAGCGGCGGACGGGUGAGUAAUGCUUAGGAAUCUGCCUAUUAGUGGGGGACAACAUCUCGAAAGGGAUGCUAAUACCGCAUGCGUCCUACGGGAGAAAGCAGGGGAUCUUCGGACCUUGCGCUAAUAGAUGAGCCUAAGUCGGAUUAGCUAGUUGGUGGGGUAAAGGCCUACCAAGGCGACGAUCUGUAGCGGGUCUGAGAGGAUGAUCCGCCACACUGGGACUGAGACACGGCCCAGACUCCUACGGGAGGCAGCAGUGGGGAAUAUUGGACAAUGGGGGGAACCCUGAUCCAGCCAUGCCGCGUGUGUGAAGAAGGCCUUAUGGUUGUAAAGCACUUUAAGCGAGGAGGAGGCUACUUUAGUUAAUACCUAGAGAUAGUGGACGUUACUCGCAGAAUAAGCACCGACUAACUCUGUGCCAGCCGCCGCGGUAA